rnacentral:rRNA from 1 species
GGAAUAUUGGACAAUGGGCGAAAGCCUGAUCCAGCGACGCCGCGUGGGUGAAGAAGGCCUGCGGGUUGUAAAGCCCUUUCGGUGGGGAAGAAAAGCCUCGUUUUAAUACAGCGGGGUCUUGACGUAACCCAAGAAAGAAGCACCGGCUAACUCUGUGCCAGCAGCCGCGGUAAUACAGAGGGUGCGAGCGUUAAUCGGAAUUACUGGGCGUAAAGCGCGCGUAGGCGGCUUUGCAAGUCGGGUGUGAAAUCCCCAGGCUUAACCUGGGAACUGCAUUCGAGACUGCAUUGCUAGAGUAUGGGAGAGGGAAGUGGAAUUUCAGGUGUAGCGGUGAAAUGCGUAGAUAUCUGAAGGAACAUCAGUGGCGAAAGCGACUUCCUGGACCAAUACUGACGCUCAUGUGCGAAAGCGUGGGGAGCAA